GACGCGCACCACACACACAUAGCUCACUGCAUAUUCUGACUGGUAGUCCUAUCUCACAUUUCCAUUCUCCUUUGUUUGGAGAUGAGAUGUCAGCCCUGAGAAAGAAGCAUGAGGUCAGUAUUUUGUAGAGCGAACACGCACUGUCAGAGGUCACACGAGGCAGGAGGAAAAGGAGACCUCACUGACGGGGCUGUCAGAGGUCACAUGAGGCAGGAUGAAGAGGAGACCUCACUGAGGGGGCUGUCAGAGGUCACACGAGGCAGGAGGAAAAGGAGACCUCACUGACGGGGCUGUCAGAGGUCACAUGAGGCAGGAUGAAGAGGAGACCUCACUGAGGGGGCUGUCAGAGGUCACACGAGGCAGGAGGAAAAGGAGACCUCACUGAGGGGGCUGUCAGAGGUCACAUGAGGCAGGAUGAAGAGGAGACCUCACUGAGGGGGCUGUCAGAGGUCACACGAGGCAGGAGGAAAAGGAGACCUCACUGAGGGGGCUGUCAGAGGUCACACGAGGCAGGAGGAAAAGGAGACCUCACUGACGGGGCUGUCAGAGGUCACAUGAGGCAGGAUGAAGAGGAGACCUCACUGAGGGGGCUGUCAGAGGUCACAUGAGGCAGGAUGAAGAGGAGACCUCACUGAGGG